GGUCGACCGUUUGUGAGAUAUGGUCGAAAUCAGACCUCUAGCCACUAAAAUAAUGGCCUAGGGCAAAAUAGGAUUUCAUUCAAAGAUCGGAGAUUAGAAUUUGAGAGCUAGCUUGAAGUCCUUUCCAAAGACAUAAAAAUUAUUUGAGAGGAUUUUGAAGGACUUAGCAAUUAUUGUUCAAAGUCAGGGCUUGUAUCAGUGAUUUGGAUUUUAUAUAAUAUAAUUAGGACUAGAAAUUUUGGUUAGUUCAUGCAAUUGGCAUGACGUCUAUGGUUGAAAAUUUGAUAUUAUUUGCCAUAUUAGGUGUGCUAAGUGUAUACAAAAUUUUGUGAUAAUCUAACGGUGUGGUUUAGAGAUAUCUAGUUAUUAGCUUAAGAGGAUUUCAAAAGGUGGCAGUUUGAG
rnacentral:lncRNA from 1 species